GCCGCAAUAGCUCAGUUGGUAGAGCGCGUCCUUGGUAAGGACAAGGUCACGGGUUCAACUCCCGUUUGUGGCUCCA
rnacentral:tRNA from 1 species